rnacentral:rRNA from 1 species
UACGAAGGGGGCUAGCGUUGCUCGGAAUUACUGGGCGUAAAGGGCGCGUAGGCGGACAGUUAAGUCAGAGGUGAAAGCCCAGGGCUCAACCCUGGAAUUGCCUUUGAUACUGGCUGUCUUGAGUAUGGGAGAGGUGAGUGGAACUCCGAGUGUAGAGGUGAAAUUCGUAGAUAUUCGGAAGAACACCAGUGGCGAAGGCGACUCACUGGCCCAUUACUGACGCUGAGGAGCGAAAGCCAGGGGAGCAAACGGG